AGUGAUCGCUGGCGGCGUGCUUAACACAUGCAAGUCGAGCGAGAUUUGACAGCGUAUCGUCGGGUCUAGCGGCAGACGGGUGAGUAAUACUUGGGCAAUCUGCCCUACAGUAGGGGACAACCUGCCGAAAGGCGGGCUAAUACCCCAUAAGACCACAGGGAUGCAUAUCCAAGGGGUCAAAGCUCCGCAAGGGGCGCUGAAGGAGGAGCCCGAGUCCUAUCAUGGUAGUUGGCGGGGUAAUGGCCCACCAAGCCGUUGACGGGUAGCCGG
rnacentral:rRNA from 1 species